rnacentral:tRNA from 1 species
GCGGAAGUGGCUCAGUGGUAGAGCACUGGCUUCCCAAGCUGGGGACCGCGGGUUCGAAUCCCGUCUUCCGCUCCA